CCUACGGGAGGCAGCAGUGAGGAAUAUUGGUCAAUGGGCUUACGCCUGAACCAGCCAAGUCGCGUGAGGGAAGACUGCCCUAUGGGUUGUAAACCUCUUUUGUCAGGGAGCAAUUGGCGCUACGUGUAGCGUUAUCGAGAGUACCUGAAGAAAAAGCAUCGGCUAACUCCGUGCCAGCAGCAGCGGUAAUACGGAGGAUGCGAGCGUUAUCCGGAUUUAUUGGGUUUAAAGGGUGCGUAGGCGGAAUGCCAAGUCAGCGGUAAAAUCGCGGGGCUCAACCUCGCUCCGCCGUUGAAACUGGCGUUCUUGAGUAGACGAGAGGUAUGCGGAAUGAGUGAUGUAGCGGUGAAAUGCUUAGAUAUCACGCAGAACUCCGAUUGCGAAGGCAGCAUACCGGCGCCCAACUGACGCUGAAGCACGAGAGCGUGGGUAGCGAACAGGAUUAGAUACCCUUGUAGUC
rnacentral:rRNA from 1 species